rnacentral:sRNA from 1 species
CCCGCUCUCGCCUCCGCGCUAGCUCCCUGCUGCUUCGGGGCGGAAGUAGCGGAGCCGGGCUCGGCCCCCUUAAAGGGACAGGGACUGCUGCAACCUACGGGGUGUACUUGGGAACGAGGGGUGAAGCGGCCCAGGUGAGGCUCGCCAUGGCCAAACAGCUGCAGGCCCGAAGGCUAGACGGGAUCGACUACAACCCCUGGGUGGAGUUUGUGAAACUGGCCAGUGAGCAUGACGUCGUGAACUUGGGCCAGGGCUUCCCGGAUUUCCCACCACCAGAAUUUGCCGUGGAAGCCUUUCAGCACGCUGUCAGUGGAGACUUCAUGCUCAACCAGUACACCAAGACAUUUGGUUACCCACCACUGACGAAGAUCCUGGCAAGUUUCUUUGGGAAGCUGCUGGGUCAGGAGAUAGACCCGCUCAGGAAUGUGCUGGUGACUGUUGGUGGCUAUGGGGCCCUGUUCACAGCCUUCCAGGCCCUGGUGGACGAAGGAGACGAGGUGAGUGGGCAAGACUUGGGCUGAGUGGGACUGAGAGGUCAGGGCCAUGCUGACUCCAGCUGAUUUGACCCUUAUAUCAGGUCAUCAUCAUCGAACCCUUUUUUGACUGCUACGAGCCCAUGACAAUGAUGGCAGGGGGUCAUCCUGUGUUUGUGCCCCUGAAGCCGGGUCCCAUCCAGAAUGGAGAACUGGGUUCCAGCAGCAACUGGCAGCUGGACCCCAUGGAGCUGGCCAGCAAAUUCACAUCACGCACCAAAGCCCUGGUCCUCAACACCCCCAACAACCCCCUGGGCAAGGUGUUCUCCAGGGAAGAGCUGGAGCUGGUGGCCAGCCUGUGCCAGCAGCAUGACGUGGUGUGUAUCACUGAUGAAGUCUACCAGUGGAUGGUCUACGACGGGCACCAGCACAUCAGCAUUGUCUCAGCAGCUGUUCUGUUCGGCCUUGGGCAGCCAGCCUCCCUGGCAUGUGGGAACGGACCCUGACCAUCGGCAGCGCCGGCAAGACCUUCAGCGCCACUGGCUGGAAGGUGGGCUGGGUCCUGGGUCCAGAUCACAUCAUGAAGCACCUGCGGACCGUGCACCAGAACUCCGUCUUCCACUGCCCCACGCAGAGCCAGGCUGCAGUAGCCGAGAGCUUUGAGCGGGAGCAGCUGCUCUUCCGCCAACCCAGCAGCUACUUUGUGCAGUUCCCACAGGCCAUGCAGCGCUGCCGUGACCACAUGAUACAUAGCCUACAGUCAGUGGGCCUGAAGCCCAUCAUCCCUCAGGGCAGCUACUUCCUCAUCACAGACAUCUCAGACUUCAGUGAGUGAGACUUGCCGGUCUGGGCAGGGCACAGGGGCUGGAGGCUGCAGGGGGCUCAGUGUGGCCUCUGUCUCCCAGAGAGGAAGAUGCCUGACUUGCCUGGAGCUGUGGAUGAGCCCUAUGACAGACGCUUCGUCAAGUGGAUGAUCAAGAACAAGGGCUUGGUGGCCAUCCCUGUCUCCAUCUUCUAUAGUGUGCCACAUCAGAAGCACUUUGACCACUAUAUCCGCUUCUGUUUUGUGAAGGAUGAAGCCACGCUCCAGGCCAUGGACGAGAAGCUGCGGAAGUGGAAGGUGGAGCUCUAGCCCUGAAGUCACGCCUUGGCCCUGACAUCCCCACAUGCCUGCAGAGAUCCUCUUUGAGUGUCUGUCUUUGUCCAGGUUUCAGACAUUUCUAGGUUGGGGAAGAUGCUAUUGGGAAACCUCUUCUCCGUGACACAGAAUGUUCUGGGUGGGAGCCACCCUUCUUCAUCUUAGAGAACCAAGUGCCUCCUGUCUGAAAGGUGAGGGUGGCCUGACCUGGGCCUCUCCCUGCCCCUCCAUAGGUGGGUUUGUAGGGUCUUGUGUUGCUUCUGGUCUCUCCAGGCUUGGCUGAGACGGACGGUAGACUUCCACCAUGUACCGAUCACAUCCCAGCUCUGCAUGGCCCCUGCUAAGGCUCGGGUAUAACCUCACCUUCCCUGGCUCAUCUUGGCCUUGGGGAGUUGCCUUUAGGCUUGAGUCCUCAAGCCUCUCCUUUUCGUCCAUAAUAAAAUGUUUAAGUUAUUAAGAUCCUUAUUGACGGCUUCUCUCUGCUUCACACUCAUGCUGAUGGCUGAUCUAACUUGUGAAGAAUGCCCAGAAGAACCUCAGACACCCCCACAACUUUGUACAAAUGGUUACUGUAGUCACAUAGUGGCACAACCAGGCCUAGCACCCAAGGCCCUCAAAUGAAUUCCUCACUAUUAA